CAGUCAUGCUAGCGCGGAAUCAACUUGGUGAUUUUCCUCCUCGUGUACUUCCUCGCUCGGCAGGUUAGCAUCAAUUUCGGUUGUCAUCGAAUAAUUGGGGGAAUGUGUCUUUCCUCGGAAAGUGUUUAUAGACCCUGGUUGAUGUGGCGAUCGGGAUUGAGGAUUGCAGCGGAUGCCUUUAGGCUAGUCACCUGCCUCCUGAC
rnacentral:rRNA from 1 species